rnacentral:snRNA from 1 species
GGAUGCUAGGGUGAUCUGCCCAUGACAUCUGUCACCCACUGACACAUAGGGUGAUGCAGCUGAUCUGGCUGCCUAGGCAGGUGUCCCCUUCUUUCCUCACCACUCCACAUAUGUCCCUCCAGAAGCUGUGUGCUCUAUUGAAGAGGAUAAUCGAUAGAGUAGAACUGCUUCCUCAGACAAGAGGAGAGGAGCAGCUGCACUAUCUUGCUAGGGCCUCCAAAUAAGCUCUCAGGAAAGAUGAUGAAUGAAGAAAAACAGGAAGUAAAAAAAUUUGCUUUCUCCUCAUUAUCAAGGCCUAUGCAUUUGACCAGUCACUUUCAUGA